UGAGGGCUAUGAGAAGUUUAUUCAGCAGCAGCUGAAAGAAGGGAAACAGCUCUGUGCUGCCCCAGAACCACAGCUUUGUCUACAGACCAGGAUUCUGACAGAGUCUUACUUUGUCACCAGGCUGGAGUGCAAUGGUGUGGUCUUGGCUCGCUGCAACCUCUGCCUCCCGGGUUUAAGCGAUUCUCCUGCCUCAGCCUCCCAAGUAGCUGGGAUUACAGAAACCAAAAGAAAAAAUACUUUUUAUCAACCUGUGUCAGUGGACAAGGAUCCCAGCUCCCCAAUCAACCACUCAUCCAGUACCUCUAACUGUUGGCAAACCAGAAGAUACAACUGAGAUAUCAGAUGCUUACACAGUCAUUGAUGUUGCCUACAAUCCUGAUGUUCUUCAUGCAGCAGAAAAGGACCAAGUGAAAAAAAAUCAGUUAAUUCAGAUGGCCAUGAAAUGCAUUGAGGAGAAAUUCCAGUUCACCCUCUCACACUCUUACCAUAUUACC
rnacentral:lncRNA from 1 species